AUUCAGUCCACAGUGAUCGUCAGCGCUGGCCGCGCGCCGUCCAUGCAGAGCGCAUAGGCUCCGAGUAUUCAGCACUCUGAGGGUUAAGGAGGAUUCGAUGGAAAAGUGACACGAUCCUUUCAACAAUUGAUUGCAUAAAGGAAGACCGUUCGUGACUAUAAAUUUCACCUCGAAUAAUCAUAAAGGGAUAUGCAUAAUGCGAGCGUGUAUGGAACAAGUCUAAGUAAUCGGUUUAACGCGAUGGAUCUUAUGACUGCGGAUAGUGGCUGCUUUUGAGAUGUCUCGAAAUUUCAGGAAACUACUAUGCCUUUCAAGACGCUCUUUAUCGAAAAGGCUAGGCUAAAGGGUUGAGUAAGGACAUACUCGUUCGAGUAUGAAUCACAUGUAUCGUUUUGCAAGAUAAAUUGUCGCUGACUUAUUAAAAUUGUGGACAACGUGAUGUUUCUGUUGGUAUAAAUAUUCUUAAAGUAAAUAAAGGUAUAAGAACUGUGCAAUCGUAUCUGUUAUUAUUGACCAUUAUUCAUUGUUAUAUAUGUGUAUAUGUUACAUUUUUGUUAUGAACGUGACAUGAUUCAAGAAAGCUCAUGGAGGAUCGUUCAUCUUAACGCGUUAAAGGAAGUCAUUUCGUAUUUCGGUAAUGUUCGUAAGUGACGUCAUCUGUAUGUGUAAGCAUGUGACUUAACGAACAUCUAUUGUUUUCUUUUGUAAUACUGAUCUGUAUUUCGCACGAGGCUAACGUCAUGCGACUAAUAAAAUAAAACAUUUAGUAGAAUUCCUCUCUUUUUCAAUCUGUUUUAUGGUUUUUCGAAGAAUACAUAACCUAUAACUAACCUAUAACCAAACUCGUUUACCUACGAAUCGAGACGAAU